rnacentral:rRNA from 1 species
CCCUUAGAUGUUCUGGGCCGCACGCGCGCUACACUGAUGCAUUCAACGAGCCUAUCCUUGACCGACAGGUCCGGGUAAUCUUUGAAUCUGCAUCGUGACGGGGAUAGAUUAUUGCAAUUAUUAAUCUUGAACGAGGAAUUCCUAGUAAGCACAAGUCAUCAGCUUGUGUUGAUUACGUCCCUGCCCUUUGUACACACCGCCCGUCGCUCCUACCGAUUGAAUGUUCCGGUGAGCUCUUCGGACUGCGCGGUCUGCAGUUUCUGCGUUCCGUGCGGAAAGUUGCGCAAACCUUAACAUUUAGAGGAAGGAGAAGUCGUAACA